rnacentral:misc_RNA from 1 species
GAUGAAGAACGCAGCAAAAUGCGAUAAGUAAUGUGAAUUGCAGAAUUCAGUGAAUCAUCGAAUCUUUGAACGCACAUUGCGCCCGCCAGUAUUCUGGCGGGCAUGCCUGUUCGAGCGUCAUUUCAACCCUCAAGCACAGCUUGGUGUUGGGACUCGCGUUAAUUCGCGUUCCCCAAAUUGAUUGGCGGUCACGUCGAGCUUCCAUAGCGUAGUAGUAAAACCCUCGUUACUGGUAAUCGUCGCGGCCACGCCGUUAAACCCCAACUUCUGAAUGUUGACCUCGGAUCAGGUAGGAAUACCCGCUGAACUUAAGCAUGUCAAUAAGCGGAGGA